rnacentral:lncRNA from 1 species
AUCCCCUCGCCAUUAAAAUGCAGAUUUUCCCGGGAGGCCGGGAGAGGGCAGGCCGAGUGUCAGGCUUUCAUUCUUCACACUUGUGGGAAGUUUGUGGCCAGCCAACCUCCAGUAAAACCCAGAGAAAAGGGCAAGGGAGAGGAUUCAGUGGGACUGACAGCCAAGACCUGCUUCUGCAAGGGAGGAAGGAAAGGGUCAAAAAGGGGCCGAUGAACUUGCCAGCUUCAGAAUGGGUCCAGGCAGGCUUCCCCACCGGCCCAGCUCACAGCCGCAGGCCAGUCUCUGCCUCCACGCCCCCACCCCGCCGCCUUCUCCCGGCCCAGGCCCAGGCGGCCUGUGGCUUCCAGGGCCCUCACACUCCUAAGGCCUCUCAUGGUUUGCAAAGUUUUGCCAGGGCUGCUCCUGCGUUGCUGCUGUCUUUCCACGUAUCCUCCCAUUUUCACAGACAGGAAAAUGGAGGCUCUGAAACGUUAAGUGAGGUUAACAGCUAAGUGAUGAGUCACAACCCAAAGGCAAGGCUUCCGUCGCCAGCUUCACGGAGGCCCUCCCUGGGCAGAGCGGCAAGGACACAGAGCGGAGCAGAGUUCUGGAGCCAGCUCCUGUUACCAAGUGUAGGUUCCCUACCCCCCACACGAGAGGGGCGAAUAAAACUGGAACACCAGGCUUAUGGCGAGGAACGCGUUUUUAUUUUGCAUGACAUCAGCUGGGAGAUGAGAGUGAGCCCUCAAAUUUGUCUCAUUUUGUCUCGUCUCCCGGAAAGAAGGGAGGAGAGGGGUUUUAAAGGUUUUAUGAGGAAUGUGGCUGCUUGUAGAGAGGUGGGGGGAGUCAGUGGCCUUGCUGCUCAGAGGUUUCCCAGCAGCCUGCAUUUGACCUUGGGAGGCAGAGGAGAUGAUAAGGAACCCAGGUGGGCGACCUUGGCUGUUUGUAUCCAUGGUGGAUAGUGGAUUCUGGAGCCAGGGAGCUGGAGAGUAAGCAGGGAAAGAGUGCUUUGGUUUUAACCCCACAUAUGCUGGGUUUAAUGUAGGGGGACUGAUAUCAGGGCCGCCAUCAAUCCUAGCUGGUCACUUACUGGCUGCAGGACUUUGGACCAAACACUUGCCAGCUCCCAGCUGCAGCUUUCUCACCUGAAAGGGGGAACCAAACAGCCACCUCCCAGGUCCGAAUAACAGUGUCCCCGGAUGGGCCUCUGCAUCGCAGGGCCUUUGAGGAUGAGAAAGCAAAGCCCCAUCCUCUCUGCCAGCCCUGGAGGGCACCUCUGCCAGCUGCUGCCA